rnacentral:lncRNA from 1 species
CAAUAUUUCCGAAAUUUUCCGUUUUUUUCCGAAAUUAGUGCUAUUUAUUAAUUAUAUUGUAGUUUUGUUUCCAUUAACUACUUCAAUUUCGAAAAAGCCCAUCUAAAAGAAUAGGCCUGCAGCCCAUUUAGCAAACUAAAAGAAUAGGCCUGCAACCCAUUUAGCAAACCACUAAGUCACCAAACUCUAUAUUUACAAUUUUGAAGGACUAAACAUUAAAUAUCAAAACCCUAAUUUUCUUCAUCUUCUUCUUCCGCCGCUCACUGCCUCACCCUCUUCUCUUCCCCUAUUUUUCUCUCUCCGUCGCCCACGUCUUCUUCUCUAGGCCAUUUCUCUAUUUUUCUCUUCGUUAUAAAUUCUUCUUGCAGGCGACGUCUUCUUUCGCCAUUCUUCUUGCAGCGACGUCUUCUUUUGCCACCUCCUUUUUUCUGUACAUUUUUCUUGUCGAGAUCUGCUCCUUCUGCCCUUUCACCACCAUUUUCAAGAUUUGAAGGAUUCUUUUCGGAAAAGGGUGUCUUUGGCAUAGGAAAUGAGUUUGCUCUCAAAUCGCUCCAUCGUCGCCGUUGCUCCGUCGCGGAAAAAACAACAAAGUCGCCGGAAACCACCAAGUCAGCGCAAGUUCCGAAAAUUCCAAAAUUCCGACCGGAAUUUUCGGAAUCGGAAUCGGAAUGAAUUUUUCUAUUCCGAAAUUUUCGGAAUCGGAUUCGGAACUGCCUUUUGACUUCCGAAAAAAAUCGGAAUUUUUCCGAACCGGUGGUUUCCGAUCCGAUCCGUCCGAUCUCCACCCCUACCUACACCCAAAGCGACCUCUCGAUAGUUUUCUACUGCGUGAUGACAAAAACCCACAAAGUUUGAAGACGAUGUGUAUGCCAAAUUGAAUUUCCAGAAAUUUCUUGUACGGAGAGGUAAGAAUCAAGUGAUGUUGCUGCUAGGGUUUCAAUCCCAUUUUUCAAGUCUGAAAUUGGGAUACUUUUGCUUAAAUAGAUACUUUUUCUUGUAAUUUCUGUGAAAGAUGAGGGGUUUUUGGUAUUUUCCUAACAUUGAUAAAUUUGUGAUUAAAUUAUCACACCUAUUCAAGUGGGAUAAGUUAUCACCCAUUUGGGUGACUGGAUACCGGGCCUAUAGUCAAUAUCGGGUUUCUGUCCAUUGUACCAAACAUUGGAUUAGGGGUGACUAAUCUGCCAAUCACCCCUUAUCACACCAACCAAAAGGUCCCUAUAUAUACAAGAUGCAUUUACAUUGGAGAAUGGAUAUAAUGAAGAAUCUUGGCUCUAGCUUCGCGACAAAGAUAGAAAUGUCUUGAAUAUAUGGCCAAAUUAGGGCUGAUGAGCUUUGCUUCAAUGGUUGUCCGAUUUUUCUAAUUCUCUCACAUUUCCAGACUGCCAUGCUUUCAGAUUCAAGCUAUAAUGUCUGGAGAUAAGAAAUCCACGUCAAUUAUCCAUCUGCCCUGUUAAUUUAAUUCAUGGAAAAUACUGAUCUAAAAUUUCAAGAUAUAUAUACCUAGUUUUGGACGAAUUGUUCUUUAUGCUGG